CAAUCCAGGAAAUUGUAGGCGAGUACACCAUACAUCACUGGUGAGGAAAUUAUUGGAGAAGAUUCUUAGCGGUAGGAUUUACUCACAUUUGGAAAAGCAUUGACUUAUUUGGGAGGGUCAGCAUGGUUUUAUGUGGUGGAGGUCAUGAUGGUUUUUGAGGUUAGGUCAGUGGAUAUUGUGGGGUGGGAGAUUGCAACCUUCACGUGGUCCACCCUGUUUCGACUGAUGCAAUCAACCCGACGUGCACAAACAAGAUCAAAUAGACCAAGUUGACCUACAACAUUAGGCUGUGCACGCCAUAUACAAGAAGAAGAUGAAAUGGAUAUUGUCUGUAUUGUCAGUGAAGCAUUUGACAAAGAUCUCUUAUUCUAGACUGAGGCACAAGAUGAAAACACAUGGGGCCUUCUGCAUAAAGCUUUAGUACAGAUUCAUUUGGAGCAUUGCCUGCAGUUCCUGGUCACCACAUUACAUGAAGGAUGUGGAGGUUUUGGAGAGUGGAGCAGAAGAGUCACACUUGGAUGUUGCCUACAUUAGAGAGUAAUAACUAUAAGGAGAGAUUGGUCAAAUUUGAACUGUUUUAUUUUGGAGUGUCAGAGGCUGAAGAGGCAAUCUGGCAGAAAGAUGUAAAAUUAUGAGGAAUAGUUAGGGUAAGUAGUCAGAGAUGUUUCCUGGAGUGAUAGUGAAAAAAAAGGGGCAUAGGUUUAAGGUGAGAGAAGAGGCUAAGUUUAAAGGUGAUUUAGGAGGCAUUUUUUUUACAUGGACAGUGGCAGUCGCCUGGAAAGAGCUGCUAGAGAAGGUGGUAGAUCCAGAUGCAAUAGCAAUGUUUAAGAUGCAUAUAGGCAGACACAUGAACAGGUAGAUAAUGGAGGGAGUACAGGCACAGAAUGGAGGGAUAGGGAACACAUGCAGGUAGGUGGGGUGAACUUAAUUUAGCAUGAUGGUAACACAAACCUGAGGCCAGAGGCCUGUUCCUGUGAUGUACUAUUCUAUGUACUCCAGGUAAGAUCUUCCCAAUGCCCUGGCAGCAAGACUUCUAUACUUUAAUCCUUUUUUUGUCUCCCUAACAUCUUGGCCUACCUGCAUAUUAAUUUUGUGUUUCCUAUAUAAGGACAUUCAGAUCUUUCUCUGGAACACCAUAUUGUAGUAUCUCUGUUUUAAUAAUAUUUUAAGGAAUAAACAGAGCACUGUACUCAGUGGGUAAGAAGGCAUCUGUGGAGGGAAUGGACAAUCAAUGUUUCAGACCGGGACUGUUCUUCAGGCAAUAUUUCAAACAAUAUUUUGCUUUUCUAUUCUUCCUUCAGCUAAAGCCUCUCAGCUGAUCGAGACACGAGUUUGAACUCGUGUCUUUAAACAACAGUAACAAACCAAUGCACUUCCACACCCUCCAUCGAUAUCUGUGAAACCUAGUUGUGUUUUUUCCCCUGAUGGAUACAGUUUAAAUGCAGCCUACUGAACUUGCCAAUCACAUGCUUCAUUUAAGAGGACAUUGCAGUGCAGAGCUGAUAAAAUUAAGUUCAUUGUGCCAAAAAUGUUUAAUUUACAUAAUCAAACUGAAAGCACAUUCAGAUAAAAUGGAUUAACCUACAAACAAUGACCUUAAUAAGGGAUUUGACCCAGGAGAGUUCAUCAUUAUUUGAUUGCAAGUUUAAACAAAAUCUGAUGUACGCAUAAAGUGAAAGACUCAACAGAUUGUGCAAAAUAUAUACUCUGUCUUUGGUACCAUGCGGAAUCUAUGGGAUAUUGUCGUAGAGAUACAUGCCCAAAAGUUUAUUACAGAAGAAAAACAUUUCCUCUGGUCUCUUAACAGAGCAUUCAUUUAAUUGUUGUUGAUUCAAACAUUAAGGUAAGGCUGGUUCAGUAGAAUUAUUUACAGUGAAGCUGGAUAAAUAUAUUUGGGGUAUUGAGGACUGUGGAGAUCUGUCAUCUGUCAGAAAGAAGGAGUUGAGGCCUGGGGUAGAUCAGCCAUGGUCAGAUUGAAUAAGGGGAAAAGUUAGAAGGGCUGACAACAGUAACUGCAAGAAUGGUUUCGACCCGAAACGUUGCCUAUUUCCUACGCUCCAUAGAUGCUGCCUCACCUGCUGAGUUUCUCCAGCAUUUUUGUCUACCAACAGUAACUGCAAGGCGACUUAUUGAAUAUAUGAUUUUGAGACACAAAAUUAGGUGCUCGGUCUUCCAUUGUGUGAGAAACACUUUGGGUAGUAGCAGUGUACUCGGGUUCCUUGGCAAAUAAUUAGAGUAAUGAUCCAGGAACAUAAAUCUGUGAUUUAAAAUAACUACUAUUGGUAAUGGUAACAAUGAAAUGAUUGAAUCAUAGUAAUAAAAAAAAUGUCCCUGGCAUUCACGUCGGGACCCUUUUUCAGACAUAAAACUAAGGCCAAGUCCUUCAAGCAGGGAAAUCGGCCAUCCUUAUUCAGCCCUUACAUUAUGUAUUGACCCAUGGCCCUGCAAGCCACCCAGUUCAUCGGAAAUGUAGAGAUAGGCAAUAAAUGCUGUUAUUGACAGUGACAAACUCAUCCAAGAAAUGAAUUAAUAGCUGGACAAAUGUUUGUGUUCAGUUGGAAUGUCUGCACUUUGUAGGUUUCUAAAACUACUUACGUGUAAUGUGAUAUUCACCCAUGCAGAAGUGACCGCUCCUGAUCAGAGGACUAAGGCGAGCCAGGAUUUGCGUGGGAGCAAAUGAGGAGCAAUGGAUAAAGCGUUAAGUUUACAUGGUGCAUGGUCUUUGUUCAACAUGUGAGGAAGUGGAAUGGUGGCGCCACCUAUGGGAGAUCUGGCUGUAAGAGAAACUACAGUCUUUACUCCUACCAGAUGCAGAUGAUCAUAAUCAGAGAUGUAGGUAGUCUGAAGAUCCUUGAUCUUGAUGGGAAGGAAGCCCACUGAAGAAUAUCAAUCUUUUGCAAAUUUCCAAAUGGAGAGAUUCUGCACCACUAACCGCAGAGUAGGUGGCCUGUCAGCUCUCUCCAAUGUGGAUCACAGGACAUUUCAAGGAGCCUCAAAAGAGGUUGGAUCCUGCUCAAUAGCCAUAUGUCGUGAAAAAUACUGCAAAUGCUGGAAAUCUGAAAUAAAAAUCUGGAGACACAGUGCCAGGCAGUGUACGAGGAGAGACAUGCCAGUGGAAACUUCCUCUCUACACCCACUCGAUCCAGGCUUUCACUAUUCAUGCAAUGUGGGAACUUACACCUGAACCUGACAGAAUAAAGAUGUUGCAAUUAUGUGAACACACCAGAUAUUUUCCUAAAUCCUCUGCACCGCAAAAAGAAUCCAGACGUACAAUUGGAAUUCUUGGAGCCUCCCUCUGGACUAUUUCAGGAAAGAAUCGAUAAAGUUCCAGACCGUAAGUAUUCUUGAGCCCAGUGAGUAGCCUCAUACACCGCUCAUUGUCUUCCGAUGCUUAUUCUUCAUGCUUAUAUUGUAGUUUUUCCAAUUGGAGGUACUGAGAUCGAAACCAGUAUAGUCGCUUCCAGUCUUUCACAGACAAGGCUGUUUGUUAAUCUGUCUUAAUGUCACACUGCAUUACCUCAGGAUAAAUUAAUCAGGAAGGUUGGGCCCAUGCAAAGACGACACAGAAUUCCCUGCUUGUGACUGACAGAGCUUGAAAACAAUGACUGCAUCUUAUGUUGAUAUACUGCCUGUACCAUGAAUAUGACACAAACCACUUUACAGCAAUGAUAUCAAAAUCUGACACUCAGACGCAGGAUGAGAUAUCAGGAUAGAUGAACAACAUUUUGGCCACUUAUUUAAGUUUUAACCAGAGUCUGAAAGGAGGCAGAGAGACCUGAGCAGUUUAGGAAGGGAAUGCCAAUGUUUAGGCUCCAGGCAGUGAAGGACACAAUCACUAAUGAAUAUACUGAUUCAUAAUAGCCAAGAAGCCUGAGGUGGACUAGCACAGAUGGAAGUCAAUCUAUUCUAGGACCCGAGAUUACAAAAGCUGAAUAGGGUGACAUUGGAGGCUCUGAGCAAGAUAGGGAUUGUAAAAUGAGACAUUGCUUAAAUGGGAUCAACUGUGAGUUGGCAAGUAAAAUGGUGAUCAUAGGUCACAAGCUGAUGUGAAUUUAAGAGACGGGUAGCCAAGAUUUGAAUGGCAAGUUUACAGAGGGUAGAAAAAUAUUUGAUGGUCAGGAAUGCAUUGGGAUAGUCAAAGCCAGAAAUAACAAGACAUUUCUGACUGUCUCAGUGUCUGGUGAGCUGAGGUAGAGGGAGAGAGAUUCAUCCGUUCAACAUUAAGCAGUUGUUUAAUUGGACAGGCUCUUACCUCUUGAGUCAUAAGGCUACAGUUCAAGCCCCAUUCUAAAAGUUAAAACACACACAUCCAAGC